rnacentral:rRNA from 1 species
ACGUUAGCGGCGGACGGGUGAGUAACACGUGGGUAACCUACCUAUAAGACUGGGAUAACUUCGGGAAACCGGAGCUAAUACCGGAUAAUAUUUAGAACCGCAUGGUUCGAUAGUGAAAGAUGGUUUUGCUAUCACUUAUAGAUGGACCCGCGCCGUAUUAGCUAGUUGGUAAGGUAACGGCUUACCAAGGCGACGAUACGUAGCCGACCUGAGAGGGUGAUCGGCCACACUGGAACUGAGACACGGUCCAGACUCCUACGGGAGGCAGCAGCC